CGCAUCUGUGCAUGCAGCAUAUCAAUAAGCGGAGGAAAAGAAACUAACAAGGAUUCCCUUAGUAACGGCGAGUGAAGCGGGAAGAGCUCAAAUUUGAAAUCUUCAAGGUUUUACCUUGACGAAAUUGUAGUUUAAAGAAGUGUUUUCUGUUGAAGUUUUGGUAAAAGUUCUUUGGAAUAGGACAUCAUAGAGGGGUGAGAAUCCCGUAUUUGACCAUUAUUUUCAGCUGUGUGAUACACUUUCAAAGAGUCGGAUUGUUUGGGAACGCAGUCCAAAAUGGGUGGUAAAUUUCAUCUAAAGCUAAAUAUUGGCGAAAGACCGAUAGCGAACAAGUACCGUGAGGGAAAGAUGAAAAGAACUUUGAAAAGAGAGUUAAACAGUACGUGAAAUUGUCAAAAGGGAAGCGUUUGACACCAGUGUUGUUUUCUCGAAAAUCAAUUAAAAAGAGUUAGAUUUUGUUGUGUAUUGACCUUAACAGCUUGCAUUUCAAUUUUCUUGCUUUUUUUAAUGCACUUUUCGUUUAACAAGUCAACAUCAGUUUCUUUUGUUGUAAGAAGGUCAUUGGAAGGUGGCUUUCUUUUCGGAGAAAGUGUUUAUAGCCUUUGACUCCUGCAAUCGGAGAGACUGAGGUCUGCAGCGUAGAUCCUUCGGGGUUAGAUACAUUUGUGCUAAGUUAUAGCUUUUUAUAGACAACUUGUUGACUAUGAUUAGUCUUGUAGCUUACUCGCUUAUGCUAUUUUACCUACGCUUAGGAUGUUGACGCGCGUGUGUGCGUGAUCUAUACAUGACUCUGUGCAUAUAUCAAUAAGCGGAGGAAAAGAAACUAACAAGGAUUCCCUUAGUAACGGCGAGUGAAGCGGGAAGAGCUCAAAUUUGAAAUCUUCAAGGUUUUACCUUGACGAAUUGUAGUUUAAAGAAGUGUUUUCUGUUGAAGUUUUGGUAAAAGUUCUUUGGAAUAGGACAUCAUAGAGGGUGAGAAUCCCGUAUUUGACCAUUAUUUUCAGCUGUGUGAUACACUUUCAAAGAGUCGGAUUGUUUGGGAAUGCAGUCCAAAAUGGGUGGUAAAUUUCAUCUAAAGCUAAAUAUUGGCGAGAGACCGAUAGCGAACAAGUACCGUGAGGGAAAGAUGAAAAGAACUUUGAAAAGAGAGUUAAACAGUACGUGAAAUUGUCAAAAGGGAAGCGUUUGACACCAGUGUUGUUUUCUCGAAAAUCAAUUAAAAAGAGUUAGAUUUUGUUGUGUAUUGACCUUAACAGCUUGCAUUUCAAUUUUCUUGCUUUUUUUAAUGCACUUUUCGUUUAACAAGUCAACAUCAGUUUCUUUUGUUGUAAAAAGGUCAUUGGAAGGUGGCUUUCUUUUCGGAGAAAGUGUUUAUAGCCUUUGACUCCUGCAAUCGGAGAGACUGAGGUCUGCAGCGUAGAUCCUUCGGGGUUAGAUACAUUUGUGCUAAGUUAUAGCUUUUUAUAGACAACUUGUUGACUAUGAUUAGUCUUGUAGCUUACUCGCUUAUGCUAUUUUACCUACGCUUAGGAUGUUGACGCGCGUGUGUGCGUG
rnacentral:rRNA from 1 species